AGGGUUCGAUUCUGGCUCAGGAUGAACGCUGGCGGCGUGCUUAACACAUGCAAGUCGAGCGGAGCGCCGCGCACGGAACCCACGGGGGAAGGGCGCAGCGACUUAGCGGCGGACGGGUGAGUAACGCGUGGGCAACCUGCCCCAUACCGGGGGAUAACAGCCAGAAAUGGCUGCUAAUACCGCAUAAGGCCGCGGCGGCGCAUGGCGCAGCGGCAAAAACUCCGGUGGUAUGGGAUGGGCCCGCGUCUGAUUAGCUAGUUGGCGGGGCAACGGCCCACCAAGGCGACGAUCAGUAGCCGGCCUGAGAGGGCGGACGGCCACAUUGGGACUGAGACACGGCCCAA
rnacentral:rRNA from 1 species